CUGGCUCAGAACGAACGCUGGCGGCGUGCUUAACACAUGCAAGUCGAACGCGAAAGGGACUUCGGUCCUGAGUAAAGUGGCGCACGGGUGAGUAACGCGUAGAUAACCUGUCUUCAUGUCUGGAAUAAUACGCCGAAAGGGGUACUAAUACCGGAUAUUCUUGCUUUUCAUAAGUUAUGCAAGCAAAGGUGGCCUCUGCAUAUGCUACUGCAUGAAGAGGGGUCUGCGUACCAUUAGCUAGUAGGUGGGGUAAUGGCCUACCUAGGCGACGAUGGUUAGCGGGUCUGAGAGGAUGAUCCGCCACACUGGCACUGGAACACGGGCCAGACUCCUACGGGAGGCAGCAGUGAGGAAUAUUGCGCAAUGGGGGAAACCCUGACGCAGCGACGCCGCGUGAGUGAGGAAGGCCUUCGGGUCGUAAAGCUCUGUCAAGAGGAAAGAAGUGUACAAUGGCUAAUACCUGUUGUAUUUGACGGUACCUCUGAAGGAAGCACCGGCUAACUCCGUGCCAGCCGCGGC
rnacentral:rRNA from 1 species